AUGCCCAAAUACGUUGUUACAGCUGAUGUCGAAAAAAUGUAUCGACAAAUCAGGGUGCACAAGCUAGAUCGCACGCUGCAGCAAAUAUUUUGGAGGAAAUCUCAGAGUGAAUCAUUGAAAACCUACCAACUUAAAACCGUUACUUACGGUACAGCAUGCGCACCAUUCCUCGCCAACCGUUGCUUGAACCAGCUCGCGGAUGACGAACAGGAUCAUUUUCCGUUGGCAGCUCGACUACUAAAGAAAUCCUUCUAUGUUGACGAUUAUUUGGCUGGAGAUGACGAUAAAGAUAGAACAAUCGAAAGCUGUAAGCAACUAAUUCAACUACUUGCUUCUGGGGGCUUCUUGCUCAGGAAAUGGAGCUCGAAUGAUCCAGAAAUCCUUUCCCACAUUCCGGAAUAUCUCCGUGAUAACCGAGAUGAUCUUGAAAUCGACAAAUCUAGCUCGGUCAAAACCCUCGGAUUAAUUUGGCAUCCACUCAUUGAUUCUUUUGGAUUCAAGGUUCCACUACUUUCACCCUCAAUACCAAUCACGAAAAGGAUAGCACUUUCGGAAAUGUCCAGGUUGUUUGAUCCCAUGGGACUUGUGGGAGCAGUAAUCGUGUCCGCCAAAAUCUAUUUACAGUCCCUGUGGUCGAAUUCGUUUACUUGGGAUGAGGAGUUACCACUCGGCUAUCAAAACUGGUGGGAAACCUUUAGGACUGAAAUUCAAGUGCUUUCGACCUUGAAAAUAACUAGAAGAGUACUUAUCGACCAGUUUGACCAACUUGAACUGCACUGUUUUGCAGACGCCUCCGAGAAGGCGUACGGAUGUUGCCUGUACGUUAAAUCGAUCGACAAAGGUGGAAAUAUAGCUUGCACCCUCCUCAUAUCAAAGUCCAAAGUAUCCCCGCUAUCGAAACAGUCAACUCCACGACUUGAAUUGUGUGCAGCUGUCAUGGCUGCUCAACUAGCCGACACAGUAAAGAAAAAUACUGAACUUUCUUGCUCGAUCACUUUCUGGUCUGAUUCAAGCAUUGUGCUUCAUUGGAUAGCUUCAGUAUCUUCAACAUGGAAAGUGUAUGUGUCCAAUCGGAUCGCCGAAAUUCAUCGGCUCACUCAUGGAAGCGAAUGGCGAUAUGUUCCGUCAGAGCAAAAUCCGGCUGAUCGUAUAUCUCGCGGCAUUUCUCCUGCACAAAUAAUAGACGAUCAACUCUGGUGGCAUGGGCCACCAUUCCUGAUGGAAAGGAAAGUUCAUUGGCCUACUAAUAUAAUCGAAUUAUCGCCACUACACCAUUGUAUUCGAAAUCAAGAAAUUCGGGGAACCGUAUCGCUGGUCACAACCUCGCCUCCCCUAAUACUUUCUCUUAUCAACAAAUAUUCGGUUUUGUCUACUCUCGAACGAACGCUCUCAUGGAUUCGAAGGUUUGUUUACAAUUGCCGCACAAGUUCAGAAAACAGAUUAGUUGGUCCGCUCAAACCGAAAGAAUUAGACGAUUCACUAAAACUGCUGGUGAAACAAGUUCAACAAGAUUCCUUUUCGUCAGAAAUUGCUUUUCUGCACCGAUAUCCUGGACCUGUGCAAAGGAAUUUUUUGUUUAAAUCGUCUUUGAAAAAACUCAACCCUUUCUUAGAUGUAGAAGGGCUAUUGAGAGUACAUGGGCGCUUGGAAGCGUUGGACGCUCCAUUCGACACUCGACACCCCAUCAUACUUCCAGCGAAACAUCAUUUGACUCACCUGAUUGCCAAGAGAACUCACAUUGACACACUACACUGUGGACCACAAAUGCUUCUCAAUACUCUACGCCAGCGGUUUUGGCCCAUUCGAGGCAGAGAUUUAGUGAGAAAAGUGGUGGACAAAUGCCUGAUCUGCUUCUCCUGCAAACCGAAGAGCAUCCAACAACUCAUGGGAUCAUUACCGGCAGCGAGAGUGACUCCGUCGCGCGCGUUUCUGAAGUCCGGCGUGGACUAUUGCGGUCCGUUUUACGUUCGCCCGCCGAGUCGUCGGGGCAAUUCUCUGAAAAUUUUCGUUGCAAUAUUCGUUUGUAUGUUGGAGGCCAUACAAACGAAUAUGGCUGUCCAUAUCGAAAUGGUAUAUAGCCUGACGUCGGUGUUCACAUCACCGGGUAUUGACUGUAGCCAGUCGGAGUAAUCGGCGAGUACCGAUUUUCGUGUGGCUGAUAGAAUGACAGUUGCUGAUAUCUGUCAAGACGACUCAAAAGUGGAAGUGAACUGUCAGGGGAAUAAUAGGAGAAGAAGAAGAAAAGAAAUAAUAACAAACAAAAAAAAAGGGUUUUGUAAGAUUCUGCAAACGGGAAAUUUAUUAAAUAUAUUUCGAUCGAAACAGUGUUAGGAGUGAUAAGGUGGAUAUAUCGGUGGGCCAAGUUUACCUCCGCGCCUUACGUAGCACACUGGAUUGAUUUGAAUUCAAUAAUAGGAAAAGUAAGCAGUAGGAAGAGUUCAGGAAGGUUAAACGUCGUAAGGGAAAGGAGACUAUUUUUAUUUUGAGCCACUCCAAAAGUGU